UCCUACGGGACGCAGCAGUGGGGGAUAUUGCACAAUGGGGGAAACCCUGAUGCAGCGACGCCGCGUGAGUGAAGAAGUAUUUCGGUACGUAAAGCUCUAUCAGCAGGGAAGAAUAAUGACGGUACCUGACUAAGAAGCCCCGGCUAACUACGUGCCAGCAGCCGCGGUAAUACGUAGGGGGCAAGCGUUAUCCGGAUUUACUGGGUGUAAAGGGAGCGUAGACGGCAGCGCAAGUCUGGUGUGAAAUGACGGGGCGCAACCCCGGCACUGCUCUGGAAACUGUGAAGC
rnacentral:rRNA from 1 species